rnacentral:lncRNA from 1 species
CGAUCCACACGAAUCUCCACGCGUCGUACACCCUCAGUCUCGCGUGAAACCGGGUCGAUGUGUUGUGCGUUUUUCUGUGUUGUUGGGCUUUCAGGUUCACGGGUUCAAUCCGUGCGCGUCUAGUGUUUUUUGAAUUUUCUAUUCAGUUGGUGGGGCGGCAGCUUUUGUGCCGGGGAGGGGAUUGGAAGGGGUUGGCCGAGGCGGGCCGAGACGACGGAUUGAAGGGGCUCCUCGCCGGUGAUUAGCGGCCAGGCGGAGAUGGCGCGUGGCGCUUUCUAUGCCGGAGGCGUGCUUCACAGGGAGGGCCGCAGGCAGGGGAGGAGCUCGGCGGAGCUCCCCCGUCGUGCUCGCCGCCAGCAAGCACCCACGGGCCACGGCGGGGGAGGAAGUAUUCGCCGGCGCCGGUGGGGCGCAAGGUAUACUUCCGUCUCCCUGUUGUCCUAGCUCUGUCCAAUUUUUUGUUUGUUCUAUCUGAUCUGCCUCUUUCCGUGUUUGAUUCAGUUCAUCGUCGUGGUCGCCGGGCAUAGAGCCAUGUCGCAGGGGUUGUUCAGUUAGCUAGUUUUUGGGUAAGAACGUUUUGCCAUAGCUUAGUCCACCCCAGCGAUUUUGACUGGUUCAUGAGAAACGAUCCUGAAUUUUUUUUCCAGCCACCUAUACGCGCGUGUCAGUCAAUCCCCAAAUUUCAUCGCCUAAGUCCGCCUCGUUGUUUUUCUGGACAUAGAUCUCCGGUUCUACGAAGUGUUGAGUGUCAAUUUCACCACUAAACAGAACAUUCCUCUAAGCUGACUACAAAGUGUCGGAUGUAGAUCUCGGGUUCGGCUCCUCUGCAGUCGUGUAAAAACUGCACAGGUGCUGUAUGUGUGGGAGUUAGUUGAGAUUUUUUAGGCAUUUGCUGGUGAUUCGAUUUUUUGUGGGAGGGUCUAUGCAAUGUUCAGUAAUGGUUCAGGUGGUAUUUUCGGCUGCUUUAUGUUGAUGUAAGCAUGGACGAAGGAAUGUUCUGAGUCCUUUUUCUUGGUCAGCAUCUUCCAUCAUGAAAACAUGCUCACAAUCUAUGUUUUAUGUACUUAUCAUUUUUCAGUUUAGUGAAUGAGAGCUAGUUUUUGGUACUAGAUUAUUCUUUUUUUUAGCAUGUUUUGUACAUUAUUCAGCUUAAGUAAUUCCUUCAUUAUGAAGAUGGUUUUGCUUCUCAGGCCCGAGUUUUGGGAGCAAGUUCGCGGUUAUUUUUUGAUGUGAUUUAUCAACGCUAAAACAGAUGGACCUGAAUUUUUCCCGUUACUUGUUAUGUAUUGGCUAUUAUAAAUUUGCAGUAUACUUUUUUUAUGUGCAGGCCCUUUUCCUGCAUGAACACUGGUGUUUUUUAGUGGAGGCUUCUUUUUUGCUGUAGUGCAGGUUCAUGGGUGUUCAUUUUCCAGUAGACGGCGAUUUGUUUUUCAUUGCAGUGCCUCCAAUUAAGGUGUGUUGGAAGUCAAUUUUUUCAGGGGUCGGUCGAACAGUAAAAUAGUGGUCAUAGUGGUCAGGGUCCCUAUUUGUCUUGUUGGAUUUGCUUCAUUCCUCUGUUUACAUACCUUGCUCAUCCAUCUCUUCUUCUUCAUCCCUGUCCAUAGUAUUGAAAUGUUGUUUAAUUCUGUCCAUUUCUGCUAGCAGGUACUUAUAUUUAUCUUGACUUUUUUAUCCAUUCGAGCCCAGCUGCAUUAGCUUCAUUCCUAGGACAUUGUACCUGAGCUGAUCAAAGUGGAAUUUCUUUGGGUUAAAUUCAUUUUCUUGCCUUCUUCCAACCAUUUGUGUAUUAUGUAUUUAUGUGGUAUCUUAUCUACCUCAAAGUGCAGCAUCACUUUCAGAAUGUGAGAGCACAAAUGUCAUCUUUUUUCGAACUUGGAACAAAUGCAGGAGUAAUCCUCUUUCUUAGUGUCCACUUGCACCUGAAAGGAUCGAUAUAGUUGACUAGAGGGGGGGGGGGGGUGAAUAGGCAACUAACAAUUUUCAGCUUUUCUUCACCAAUUUAAACUUUGCAUCAAAGUAGGUUGUCUAGAUAUGCAACUAGGUGGGCAACCUAUAUGAUGCAAUAACAAUAAGCACACACGCAAGCAAAAGAUACAACACAAAUAAGCUUGCACAAGUAAAGGCACGAGAUAACCAAGAGUGGAGCCGGUGAAGACGAGGAUGUGCAUCAAAGUUCCUUCCCUUGAGAGGAAGUAUGUCUCCGUUGGAGUGGUGUGGAGGCACAAUGCUCCCCAAGAAGCCACUAGGGCCACCGUAUACUCCUCACGCCCUCACACAAUGCGAGAUGCCGUGAUUCCACUAUUGGUGCCUUUGGAGGCGGCGACCGAACCUUUAUAAACAAGGUUGGGGCAAUCUCCACAACUUAAUUGGAGGCUCCCAACGAUACCACGAAGCUUCACCACAAUGGACUAUGGCUCUGCGGUGACCUCAACCGUCUAGGGUGCUCAAACACCCAAGAGUAACAAGAUCCACAAGGGAUUAGUGGAGGGAUUCAAAUUUCUCUUGGUGGAAGUGUAGAUCGGGGCCUUCUCAACCAAUCCCUAGAGAAUCAACAAGUUUGAUUGGCUAGGGAGGAGAUCGGGCGAAAAUGGAGCUUGGAGCAACAAUGGAGCAUGGAGGUAGAAGAGGUGGUCAACUAGAGGAGGAAGACACCCCUUAUAUAGUGGAAGGACAAAUCCAACCGUUAUCCACCAACUCAGCCUGCGCAGCGCGGUACUACCCCACCUGAGGCGCGGUACUACCGCAGGGGCACGCGGUACUACCGCAGGGCCCCGCGGUACUACCGCCCACACAACAGAGACCAGAACAGCCAAAGGUGCACUAAGGCAGAGGGCGGUAGUACUGCUGGCGCGGUACUACCGCUCCCCCUUGCGGUACUACCGCAAGGCAGGGAUUGUCCAGGGAUGGGAAGGCACGGAUAUAAAAAAUUACAUCCGUGGCUACUUCCGGAGAGUUGGAGUCGAUGCAAAAACCCGACGCGGUAGUACCGUAAGCCAGCUGCGGUACUACCGCGCGGGGCGCGGAUGUAAAAAAUUACAUCCGCCCCUUACUGCCGCGUAAUUGCGGAACUAAGUCAGGGACCACGGUACUACCGCUUACUAGAAGCGGUACUACCGCACCAGCGGGCGGUACUACCGCAAGGUCCUGCGGUACUACCGCUCUAGGGAGCAGUACUACCGCUCUAGGGAGCAGUACUACCGCAUGCCUUAGUUCGGCAAGCAAGAGCAAUAUUGCAUAGACAAGGAAAACAUAGGAUGCUCCAAAGGCUAGAGGAAAGGAGGUGCAAAGGGAGAUGUGUACGUGAUGAAUCCACCCAACCUUUCCAACGCGGACCCCCUCUUAAUAGUACGGCUUCCGUACGACUCAAUACCACCGAAAAGAACCAAAGAGAAACGUCGUCUUCCAUAGCCUUCGAGGGGAACCAAAACAUCUUGUGCCUAGUCAAUAUAUCUGAAAUAUUCGAUGCACAUGAUUAGUCCGCAAAAGCAUUGUCAUCAAUCACCAAAACCAACUAAGGGAUAAAAAUGCCCUUACAAUCUCCCCCUUUUUGGUGGAUUGAUGACAACACGGGAUUUGCACGAGAGUAUAACGCAAAGAGCGGGGGCAAACCCCAAGUCUCUAAAAUAUAGACGGGCUCCCCCUAGAUGUGUGCUAUCUCGAUGAGUGCUUUGGACUGCACGACACACAUACUAGGAUCAACACUCCCCCUAUAUUUUAUAGACAUGGCAAAUCUUGCAAUAAGGCUAAAGCUAAGCAAGAUAGACAGGAGCAUAUGCAAUAAGGCUAAAGCUAAGCAAGAUAGACCGGAGCAUAGGUAAUUAGCACAAGAUAGAGUAAGCUCACUUCGGUACGAUAGAGUGCAUAUGUCUUACAUCAUAUGAUCGGAAGUCUCAUGAGCACAAACCAAAGCAAACCAAAGCAAACGAAAUAAACGAAGUUCAACUGACCCAAACACGACACAACUCACAAAUCCUACACUCUCUCCCCCUUUGGCAUUGAGACGCCAAAAAGGCAGAGAGGACACCUAUAGCAAUAGUGGUGGCUCAAGCGGAGUAGUCACUAGCACGCUCCUCGUCAGACUCUGCAGCUGGGACGGACUCCUCCUCAGACUCGGUCCACCGAUAACCCUGCUUGUGCAGCCAUUCUGCCUCUAGGGUGAUGUUCACUUCUGACCCGCUAGAGAUGUUCUCGCCAAAGGUCCUGAAAAUCCGCUUGUCGCGGCGGCGAGUCUCCUUGGAAGCCACGUGGGUCUGGUACUGCCCCUUUGCCUGCAUACAGAACAACAUCUUCAUCUUGUUCUUCAGUCGCUUAGCCCAAGAAGGCUCAGAGGUGGGAUGGAUGUAACCCUCAGAGCUAUCCUCAUCUGCUGCCUCCUCCUCAUCCUCAUCUGCAUCCAUGUCCAUGGCAGCCGCAGUAUCAGCGCGAGAGGUAGUGUUGGCCCACUGAGGCUUGAUAAGGAGGUUGAUGGGCUCAUGCCGGAUCCAACCAGGGGCCUCAAACACAUCCUGAGGGUAGACCCGCUCCCAGGUAGCCGAUAUCAACUCAAACAGAUAAGGUCCAUAGAUGGGGACCUUGCGGUUGUAGACCGCAAAGCGAAGCUCAUGCCACAUGAUAUGUGAGACAUCAAGUGGUAGUGUUUGAGAGUUGCGAGCAUCUUCACACAGGAGCAUCAUAUCCACAAGAUAGGCAUGCACUUUGUCCUUGUCCCCAAUGCGUGGGAAGAGAGUGUUUCGGAAGAUCCGGUGCAUAAUGUCAAGAAAGGAGUUGAGAACCCAAGAUGACUUGCCAUUGGAGAGCCUCUUCUCCACAUAGUAGGGCAUAAGCUUGUUCUUGUUGGCAGACUCAGGAUUGGCAUGAGGGCGAACACCUUGGGGUGUGGCGAGCCCCUCAUCCGGAACCCCCAAGCAAGGUCAUGAAUUCCUUCCAAGUAGCAGUCAGCUGCCGACCAUUGGUCAUCCAAGUCAUGGUCCUUUCCUCAUUGGGAUGAAAAUGCACUGAGGCAAAGAACUGAGCAAGGAUCUCAGGAUCAUAGUCUUUGUGGAAUGAGAUGAUAUGCUCAAUGCCAAAUUGCUCCACUAGGUCCAAAGCCUCACCAAAGUAUUCCCGGUGCGCCUCUUUGCGCAUGUGAUGCAAGUUGAUCCACUUCACCUCCACAUGGUUGUUUUGCUUGGCCUUGAUGACAUCCAGAUAGAUGAGAUUCUGCUGCUUGGUCCAGAAUAGAUCAUUCCCUCGAAAGUUAGCACGAGGGUUUCCAUACGGAUUGAUCUUCCUCUGAGAGAUGAACUCAGCAAGCGGUAUCUCAUCCAUACCCUUGGCGGGGUCCUUCUCUUUGGUGGCAGUGGUCUUGGUUCUGCGUUGGGGGGCAUUGGAGCCCUCUGCUUCCUCUGUGUUGCGCAUACGCUUCGAUCCCGUGUCACGGCUUGGAUUGGAGCGGCGAGCCGGAGCACCUGAGCCACCACCUAAAACACACACCACAAAACAAACACGCACAAAACACGAGAAGAUUCAAUGCAAGGACCAAAGCAAGGCAGGAGAAACAAGUAGACAUGGUACGUGAGAAGUGCCACAAGAGGGAUAUGAGACGACGGUAGUAUCGUGUGGUGCGCCACGUGCGGUAGUACCGCACCAUGGAGCGGUAGUACCGUAGACACGGUAGUACCGCACCAUCAGGGCGGUAGUACCGGACGUGCGGUAGUACCGCACCUGAAGAGCGGUCGUAUCACACGGUUGCAGAUUCGAAACAACCAUGGAGAUCUGAGCACAACCGUGUCAACACGCGGUACUACGGUCAAUCAAAUCCAUCAUGGGACAACUAUAGCAAGUACCAACACUACACAAAACUACUCUCCUACAUCCUACUCUUGUAUAGAUUUGGCCUAAAAUCUCAAGAACAACUUGCAUCUCCCCAAAACCUAAAGGCAACAAGAUGAACAAGAAAAAGGGAGGGAUUGGGGAGAAACCUUGUUCCAUGGCAAGAGGGAGUGGUGGGGAAUGAUCCCACCGGUCGGAAUCCGAGGAGAGCAGCCGGAGACGGAGAUCCGGCGAGGACCUCCGGCGCCGUUCUUGAGUGAGAGAGAGAGACGGAGUGGGGAGAGAGACGAAUGGGUAUGGGGGAGUUGGAACCCCCCUGCCCGUGUUUAACCCCCACUCGCCCUCGACCGCACGGUAGUACCGCAAGUCAUCGCGGUACUACCGCCCCGGGCGGAAGUACCGCACCGUGACUAUAGUACCGCUCCCCCAGGCGGCAGUAAAAAAUUACUGCCGCGCUGGGUGCGGUAGUACCGUGCGCUCCUCACGCGGUAGUACCGCACGUCAUUGCGGUAGUACCGCCCUGGGCGGAAGUACCGCACCUAGGCCGUAGUACCGCUCUUCCAGGCGGCAGUAAAAAAUUACUGCCGCGCUGGGUGCGGAAGUACCGUGUGCUCCUUACGCGGUAGUACCGUACGUCAUUGCGGUAGUACCGCCCGGGCGGAAGUACCGCACCGAGGCUGUAGUACCGCUCUUCCAGGCGGCAGUAAAAAAUUACUGCCGCGCUGGGUGCGGAAGUACCGUGCGCCCCCCUCGCGGUAGUACCGUGGCAGGCCGCGGUAGUACCGUGAACUCAAGAAAGAUAGUUUCGACCAAAAGAGAGAACACUGAAGCACGGAACCUUCAAGCGAGAGACCAUACCAACGAGCUAACACAUUGGACACCACAAGCACAAGCUUGGCACGAAGGAAGAGAGGCAAGAGACGACACAGACCAAAACGAGACACAAACUCUCCACGGAGAGGGCGGUGGCCGGAGCCACCUAUGUUUGAGUCAAUUGGUAUGGCACCGCGAAGAAUUAUCCUUGGGCCCAUGACUAAAACUCGUCUUUGAAGCACAAGUACCAUCAAAAAUGGCUAAUGUGAAAGAGUUGAUCACUUUAUGCAUAAUGGGGGAGGGAGAGUUCAUUGAGAGAACAACACUCCCCCUAUGUCCAUGCCUACACCUAGAUUAGAUAACAAGUUGAGUGUGGUGGGGUGUGCAAGGGUUCAAGCAAAAUUGCUUGAAUCAAUGAUAUUUAGCUCAUGCCUUAACUCGUGAAAUCUUGCUUCAUCCAAAGGCUGCGUGAAAAUAUCUGCAAGGUUAUCAUGGGUGUUGACGUAGUGGAGCUCGAUCUCCCCUCGCCUAAUGUGAUCUCGGAUGAAGUGAUACCAAAUCUCAAUAUGCUUCGUCUUGAAGUGUUGCACGGGGUUGAGAGAAAUCUUGAUGGCACUUUCAUUAUCACACCAGAGAGGCACUUUGUCACAAAUGACACCGUAAUCCUUUAAAGUUUGCCUCAUCCAUAAGAGUUGUGCACAACAACUACCGGCUGCCACAUACUCCGCUUCGGUGGACGAGAGAGACACACAACUUUGCUUUUUAGAAGACCAACUUACCAAAGAGCAACCAAGAAAUUGGCACCCUCCGGAAGUGGACUUCCUAUCCACUUUGUCUCCCGCCCAAUCGGAGACCGAAUACCCUACAAGCUUGAAGUUUGCUCCUCUUGGGUACCAUAAGCCAAAGUUUGGGGUAUGAGCCAAAUAUCGAAAGAUUCGCUUGACCGCCACAAAGUGGCUUUCCUUAGGUGCGGCUUGAAACCGUGCACAAAUUCCCACACUCAACAUGAUAUCCAGUCUAGAUGCACAAAGGUAAAGCAAGGAACCAAUCAUGGAGCGAUAUACCUUUUGAUCCACCGCUUUACCAUUGGGAUCGAUGUCAAGUUGGCACUUGGUGUGCAUUGGAGUGGACGCCGGCUUGACAUCACUUAGCUUGAAUCUCUUGAGCAUGUCUUGAGUGUAUUUGGCUUGGUUGAUGAAGGUUCCUUCUCUUAUUUGCUUUACUUCGAAACCGAGAAAGAACUUCAACUCUCCCAUGGAAGACAUCUUGAACUUUGAGGUCAUGAGUGCGGCAAAUUCCUCAUUGAAAGCUUUGUUAGGGGAACCAAAGAUAAUGUCAUCAACAUAUAGUUGGCAUACAAACAACUCCCCUUUGACCUUCUUAGUAAAAAGAGUGGGGUCGAUUAGCCCAACUUCAAACCCACGAUCUUGUAACAACUCGGUAAGGUGGUCAUACCACGCACGUGGAGCUUGUUUAAGGCCAUAGAGUGCCUUAUCGAGUUGAUACACAUGAUCGGGAAAGUAGAGAUCCUCGAACCCGGGGGGUUGCUUGACAUAAACCAACUCAUUAAUAGGACCAUUAAGAAAAGCACUCUUCACAUCCAUUUGUUGCAACUUAAAGUUGUGAUGAGAAGCGUAAGCAAUCAACAAACGAAUAGAUUCAAGGCGAGCAAUGGGAGCAAAGGUUUCACCGUAGUCGAUACCCUCGACUUGGGAGUAGCCUUGUGCCACCAAUCGUGCCUUGUUGCGAAUGAUGGUCCCAUGAGCAUCUUGCUUGUUCUUGAAGAUCCACUUGGUUCCAAUGACAUUGUGGUUCCCCGUUGGCCUCGGCACUAAUCUCCGCACCUUGUUGUACUCGAAGUUGUUUUCUUCAUGCAUGGCAUUAAGCCAAUCCGGAUCUUCGAGUGCUUCAUAUACCUUUUGGGGUUCAACACAAGAGACAAACGCGUGAUGUUCACAAUAGUUUGCCAAUUGUCUACGAGUGCUUACCCCCUUUUGAAUGCUUCCAAGCACAUUCUUCAUGAGAUGACCCUUGGUGGAGAGCUUGGAUGCAAUCUUGGCGGCACGACGCUCCAAUUCUUCCUCGGUGGUGAGUUGAGGAGCGGUCACUUGAUCAUCUUGAGCGUCGUCUUGAGCUUGUUCUUGAUCUUGAACUUGCUCGGAGGAGAGAACUUGACCUUGGGCAUCACUUGGUGUGUCAACACCGUCUUGAGCAUGAUCUUGCCCUUGGUCUUGUUCAUGAGGGUGAGGGCCUUCACUUUGUUCUUCGGAAGCAUGUGGGCCUUGGGUUGGUGAUGGCCCCACUUGAGUGGAGCAUUGUCCUUCUCCUUCGGCCACAAGGGGUUCCUCAAUGGGUAGGAUAAAACCAACGCCCAUUCUUCUUAUGGCUUGAGGAGGAAUUUCAUCACCUACAUCACAAGUGCCACUUUGCUCCACUUGGGAGCCAUUAUUCUCAUCAAACUCCACGUUACACGUCUCCUCAAUAAGUCCCGUGGAUUUAUUGAGGACACGGUAAGCAUGAGAGUUUGUAGCAUAACCAACAAAUAUGCCCUCAUAAGCUCUAGCCUCAAAUUUAGACAAUCGAACACCUUUCUUGAGAAUGAAGCACUUACACCCGAACACCCGAAAAUACUUGAGGUUGGGCUUGUUACCGGUGAGUAUCUCAUAUGGAGUCUUGUUCAAGCCCUUGCGGAGGUAGAGCCGAUUGGAUGCAUGACAUGCGGUGUUGAUGGCUUCGGCCCAAAAGUUGUAUGGAGACUUGAACUCCGCCAUCAUGGUCCUUGCCGCAUCCUUCAACGUCCGGUUCUUCCUCUCCGCAACACCGUUUUGUUGAGGGGUGUAAGGUGCGGAAUAUUGACGCUUGAUCCCCUCAUCACUAAGAAACUCAUCCAAGGUGUAGUUUUUGAACUCGGUGCCGUUGUCGCUUCUUAUUGUCAAGAUCUUUGCAUUGUGUUGACGUUGGGCUUCAUUUGCAAAGUCAAUGACAGUUUGUUGGGUCUCACUCUUCCUCUUGAAGAAAUACACCCAAGUGUAUCUUGAAUAGUCAUCCACAAUCACCAAGCAAUACUUCCUACCCCCAAGACUAUCAAAAGAUGGAGGCCCAAAGAUCCAAAUGAAGGAGCUCCAAAGGCCUCUUCGAGUAAAUGAUAGUCAUGGGAGGGUGAGCCUUCUCAUGUAGCUUUCCUUCGAUACAAGCACUGCAAGCACGAUCUUUAGCAAAACUAACAUUCGUUAGUCCACGGACAUGGUCCCCCUUGAGAAGACUUUGCAAAGAUCUCAUAUUGACAUGGGCUAAACGGCGAUGCCAAAGCCAUCCCACGUCAACUUUAGCCAUUAGGCAUGUCGCGGUCUUAGUGGGUCGCUCCGAAAAGUUAAUCACAUAGAGACCGUUCUCGACAUGCCCAACAAAGGCUACUUUAAGAGUCUUGCUCCACAAGAGGGCCAUGGUAUCAAUAUCAAAGAAAGUGGCAAAGCCAUGAUUGCAAGUUGACGAACGGAAAGUAAAUUGUAUGCAAGGGACUCAACAAGCAUGACCUUCUCGAUCGUGAGAUCAUGAGAAAUGACAACUUUGCCGAGUCCCAAUACCUUAGAAGACGAGACAUCACCCCACUCGACAUUGGUGGGCAUAGAUGGAAUCCUGUGCACGUCCACCACCAAGUUCUUGCUUCCGGUCAUAUGAUUUGUAGCUCCACUAUCGAGCAACCAUGAUCCCCCACCGGAAGCAAACACCUACAAGAGAUCAAUGCUUGGUUUUAGGUACCCAUUUUGUAAUGGGUCCUUUGAUGUUAGUAACAAGGGUCUUAGGAACCCAAAUAGACCAUUCAAUGUACUCAUGAGGAGAACCAACAAAUUUGGCAUAAACAUGCCCAUCACUAGCACGGCAUAACACAUAAGAAGGAUUAAAGUCGCCAGCUUUGUUGGAAGGAGUGGCAUUGCCCUUCUUGACACCGCCACCCUUCGCAUUGUUCUUCUUCUCCUUGGAAGCACCCUCUCCCUCCUUCACAAACGUUUGCUUGAGAGGAGGAGGUCGUUUGGUCUUGUCAUUCUUCUUCUUCUUGGGAUUGGGUGCGAACCCAAUCCCCUCCUUGGCCACAACUUCCUUUUGAUUGCUCAAAAGGUCGUUGAGGUUCUUCCCACCUUGUAUGCAUGACACAAGGCCUUUCUCAAGUUGCUCCUUCAACUUACCAUUCUCCUCAACAAGAUGCACAUGCUCACAACAUGGGUUAGUAGCAUUUGCAUUAUCAAUUAACACCAUAUGAGGAAAGGUGGCUUUCUCCUUAGUUAGCUUCACUUGGAGUUGAUCAUGAGACUCCUUGAGGCUAGCAUGAACACCCUUCAAGACUUUGUGAGCCUUGUCGAGAAUGUCAAACUCCUCUUUGAGUCUAGCAAGAUCAACCCCAAGCUUUGCCUUCUCAGAGUUUAGCACACGAGACACAACAAGAGCAUGAUCAAGAUCUUUCUUUAACUUAGCAUGAUUAUCGUUGUGUGACUCCUCAAGAGCCAAACGAAGACCACGCUCUUCGUCAAGAGCAUUGGAAAGAUCCGAAAUCUCAUCGGCAUAGUCACGACUACGCCCCUCCAUCUUAGAGAUGGUAUCUUCGUGAGCCUCGAUCAUGUCAUUGGCUUCACCAAGUUGUUCCAAGAGAGCAACAAAGUGCUUCUUGGAUUUACCCUUGAGUUUACCCAUAAAGGUCUCAAACUCAUUCUCCUGCACAUUUGUCCCCUCAUGUUCAUCAAAGCUAUCCGUCGAAGAAGGAUGAUUAAUGAUGGUAGUUUUGAUGUUGGGGGUUACCUUGUUGGUGGCUUUAGCCAUGAGGCACUUGGCGGUGAUGUUCUCAUUGAGUGAGUUGAAGAGAGACAUCCGUGGAGUCAUCGCAAUGGCAACGGAGGCCAUGGCAACCGACUCACCAUCUUCAUUAUCGUCAUCAUCCUCAUUGUACUCUUCUUGUACCACCAAUGCCUUGGGAGGAGUCUUCUUGGUGAAGUUGCUCUUGUUGGGGAACGACUUGGCCUUGUCCUUUCUGAUGAGCUUGCCACCAUUGUCUUCCCUCUUCUCGUAAGGGCACUCCGCAACAAAGUGGCUCACAUUGCCACAAUUGAAGCAAGUCCUCACUCGUUGCUUGCCCUUUGCGCCACUUGAAUUGUUCUUGUUGAAGUUUGGCCUUGAGUUCUUCUUGCUCCAAAAUUUCCUUGAAGCAAGAGCCACGUGUUCAUGAUAGGCAUACUUCGUAUCUUCGAGGUUGCUCUCCUCUUCUUCCUCUUCAUCCUCUUCCUCCAUACUAACCUUGGCCUUUAGAGCAAGGUUGGGCUUCUUUACUCUUUGAGAGCGAAGAACCGCAUUAUUGGCGGUCUUGUCCAAGAUGCUCAUAGCAACGAACUCAUCCAACACUUCACUGGAGGACAAGGUGUGGAAGUACGACCUUUGACGAAUGACGGAGGACAUGGCUUUGUGGUAGGGCAUCAUUGCCUUGAGGAAUUUGCGCUUGUCAUCCGUGUCCUUACUUCCAUGAUCUCGGAGAGAGACCGCGAGUUUGGUGACUCUCCGAUAAAGCUCACGAGCUUCUUCAUCUUCUUUCAUUGCAAACUCAUCGGCUUCAUCUUGCACCACUUCAUAGUUGGAGCGUUGAAUGCUUGCGCUUCCCCGAUAGAGGGAAAUCACUUGUUGCCAAGCAUCUUUGGCAAUGGUGUAAGGCCGGAGAUGAGGAAGAUCUUCGGGUGGGAUUGCUUCUUGGAUGAUGAAGAGAGCAUUCUCAUUGAAUUGAUGGUCCACGACUUCUCUAGGAGUGAAGUUGCUUUGGUCAUGCGGAUAGAAACCUUCUUCAAUGAUUCUCCAAAGGUUAGUGUUCACAUGAUUUAAAUGACGCUUAAAACGAUAAACCCAAGAAUCAAAUUCUACAUUCUUCUCAAUCUUAGGGGCAGGGCCGGCAUGAUUCAAAUGAGUGGAAGGAAGCGGUCCACCAUAGACAGGUGGAGGUUCCACAUGGGCAAAGAUGCCGGCGCCAUUUUUACCACUAGAAGAAGGAGCUUUCUCGCUAGUAGCUUCCCCCUUGUCGGAGGUAGCAUCCGCCACCUUGUUAGUGGGAUCACCCACUUUCAAUGGUGCGAUGGAAAGUUUAAUCCCUUCUAAGAAUUUAUUAAACAUGCUUUCGACCUCGGUCGUCAUGGAGGUUUUCAAUGUGUCCAACGCCACAUUGAAUUCCUCACGAGAGACUGCGGUUCCUCCAUCUCCCGUAGACGAGACCGGAUUCACACCGGAGUGCUCCUCCACACCGUCUAUGAUGUCAUCCAUACUCUUCGGACGGUAAAGUCCUUAAUAAAGAGACGAGGCUCUGAUACCAAUUGAAAGGAUCGAUAUAUUGACUAGAGGGGGGGGGGGUGAAUAGGCAACUAACAAUUUUUAGCUUUUCUUUACCAAUUUAAACUUUGCAUCAAAGUAGGUUGUCUAGAUAUGCAACUAGGUGGGCAACCUAUAUGAUGCAAUAACAAUAAGCACACACGCAAGCAAGAGAUACAACACAAAUAAGCUUGCACAAGUAAAGGCACGAGAUAACCAAGAGUGGAGCCGGUGAAGACGAGGAUGUGUUACCGAAGUUCCUUCCCUUGAGAGGAAGUACGUCUCCGUUGGAGCGGUGUGGAGGCACAAUGCUCCCCAAGAAGCCACUAGGGCCACCGUAUACUCCUCACACCCUCACACAAUGCGAGAUGCCGUGAUUCCACUAUUGGUGCCCUUGGAGGCGGCGACCGAACCUUUACAAACAAGGUUGGGGCAAUCUCCACAACUUAAUUGGAGGCUCCCAACGAUACCACGAAGCUUCACCACAAUGGACUAUGGCUCCGCGGUGACCUCAACCGUCUAGGCUGCUCAAACACCCAAGAGUAACAAGAUCCACAAGGGAUUAGUGGGGGGAUUCAAAUUUCUCUUGGUGGAAGUGUAGAUCGGGGCCUUCUCAACCAAUCCCUAGAGAAUCAACAAGUUUGAAUGGCUAGGGAAGGAGAUCGGGCGAAAAUGGAGCUUGGAGCAACAAUGGAGCAUGGAGGUAGAAGAGGUGGUCAACUAGAGGAGGAAGACACCCCUUAUAUAGUGGAAGGACAAAUCCAACCGUUAUCCACCAACUCAGCCUGCGCGGCGCGGUACUACCGCACGUGAGGCGCGGUACUACCGCAGGGGCACACGGUACUACCGCAGGGCCCCGCGAUACUACCGCCCACACAGCAGAGACCAGAACAGCCAAAGGUGCACUAAGGCAAAGGGCGGUAGUACUGCUGGCGCGGUACUACCGCUCCCCCUUGCGGUACUACCGCAAGGCAGGGACUGUCCAGGGAUGGGAAGGCACGGAUAUAAAAAAAUACAUCCGUGGCUACUUCCGCAGAGUUGGAGUCGAUGCAAAAACCCGACGCGGUAGUACUGCUGGCGCAGUACUACCGCGCGGGGCGCGGAUGUAAAAAAAUUACAUCCGCCCUUACUGCCGCGUACUUGCGGAACUAAGUCAGGGACCACGGUACUACCGCUUACUAGAAGCGGUACUACCGUGGGCCCUUGCGGUACUACCGCAAGGUCCUGCGGUACUACCGCUCUAGGGAGCAGUACUACCGCAUGCCUUAGUUCGGCAAGCAAGAGCAAUAUUGCAUAGACAAGGAAAACAUAGGAUGCUCCAAAGGCUAGAGGAAAGGAGGUGCAAAGCGAGAUGUGUACGUGAUGAAUCCACCCAACCUUUCCAACGCGGACCCCCUCUUAAUAGUACGGCUUCCGUACUACUCAAUACCACCGAAAAGAACCGAAGAGAAACGCCGUCUUCCAUAGCCUUCGAGGGGAACCAAAACAUCUUGUGCCUAGUCAAUAUAUCUGAAAUAUUCGAUGCACAUGAUUAGUCCGCAAAAGCAUUGUCAUCAAUCACCAAAACCAACUAAGGGAUAAAAAUGCCCUUACAGCACCACAUAAAACCUUCUCCUAUGUUCUUGUUUGUAGUCGAUCUUUGCCUGUAAUACCAUGUACAACUUCUUUUUGCUCCUCUUCUCUGAUUUAGAGUCUUGUUACAUCAUUGAGAAUGAGCUGAAAUUUUCUGAAGAUACUUAUGUUGUACAUGCCGUGUGCUUGUCUCUCGAUGUAAUACUUAGUCGAGAAUGAUUUCCAGGAAACCUUUUUAUGCAAUGCAUUGUGGUCAAGCUCAUCCUCAUUUUCUUCAUUGAUCAUUGAUCUUAUUUCCAACAAAAAAUUGUAUUGUUUCUUCAUUUCAGUGCUCUGCACUUGAAAGUGGUCUGCGUUAGUUGAUGUCCCCACCUCUGGAUAUUGACUGGAGGAACUAGCAUGAACAAGCACCGGCGAAUCGAGAUUCCAGCUAUGAUUUUGUUCCCUCUCAACAGGCUCUUCCCUGUUUUCAUUGUUUGUAUCAACCUACAGGUGGGUGAGGAGGCCAAUCAUGAAAAGUGUGUCAUUUUAUUAGUUUCUUUCUUGUUUUACGAGCAGUAAAAUUGAUAUCUUUUUCUUGUUGCCGCCAUCCCUUUUUUUCACAUUUUCUUAGUCUCUUUUAAAUACAGUAUGAACUCAAAAACAAAUAUGUGAUCAACAAGCAUCAAGCGUGGAAAU